ensembl:lncRNA LOC102552874 uncharacterized LOC102552874
CUUGGCUGGGGGCAGGUCCCUCGGGUCAGGAGAAAGUGGUAUGAGGUAGCCUAGCUCUUUGUGCUCCUGAUGAGCUGCUCAAAGCUAGGGCUGUGUAGCUCAGUGGGCCCUCUAUGCAUCAGUUCCUAGGUCCAAUUCUCAUUACCUCCCUUAUCCCCGUGCCCCAAAAAGUGAACUUCUGAGAAUAUGUAAUAGGUUCCUUAGUUCAGCCACACCUGGGUGCUACUGAUGCCUGGGGCUGCUCAGGAGCCUGAUACCACGUUAGCCGCUGUAGAGGAACACCUCGACGAGUCAUUUACAACAGACAGAGAAUGAAGUACAAAUCAUAAUGGUCAUCACUCAGUGAACACACUCCCUUAAGCACCAUCCAGGAUGUUUAGCUGGUUUUUAAAGGAGAAAGAGACCGCUGAGAGAAAACACUGGAGUGGCAGCCCAGGCAGCCGUGCCUGCAGGAGGAUGCCUCCCAGCAGAACAGAGUCCUCACUUUCUGCACUUGAACUGUGUGUAAGAAAAUGAACCACCCAACUGGAAACAGGCACAAGAUAUCUUACUAGAAAAGGUCUCCAGAUGGUGGGCAAGCACAAGAAUGAAUGUCGGUGAGCUUCAGGACAGACAGGCAACUCCAGGAAGUCCAUCAGCUGACCUCGGCUCAUGUAUCAAAGUCCAAAGUUAUUCUUAAGUGAUGAAAUCAACCCCAAGCCACCCCUGUGUACGUCACUGCCUGAGCAGAGCCGCUGCCGUGGUGCACAGCCCUCCUGCAACUGGCUCUCCCCUAGGACUGCGUGAAGGCUGCCCUCAGGCUCCUGACAUCUGUGACUGUUCCUGCUCUUAGGCCCUCGGGGUAGCUAGGUUUUAAACAAAAGAUUCCCACACAUAUGACACUGCCUCUGAGUCAUCCUUGCAGCAAAAUAGAACUCUUUUCCCCUGCUGACCCAACCACCGGAAGAGCCAUCUCUUCUCCAAAACCUGCAACCAGACUUGAGGCUUGAGAAGUUAUGGGAAGAACUUACAG